rnacentral:tRNA from 2 species
GCUGCUAUAGUGUAGAGGCCAAUCAUGUCGGCCUUUCACGCCGACGACAGGGGUUCGAAUCCCCUUAGCAGCA